AUGCUUAUUUUGGGAGCACAUAUACUAAAAUUGGGAUGAUACAGAGAUUAGCAUGGCCCCCGAGCAAGGAUGACAUGCAAAUUUGUGAAGAAGAUAUUA
rnacentral:snRNA from 1 species